GUGAGCGUCCCUUCCUGGGCAGCUAUACUGGGUCUCUUAGAGGCAGCGUCCUCGGCCUGCAGCUUCCCUCACUCUGUCCCUGCAGGCUGGAAGCUCCCUAGAGCUCUUGUCCACCCAGGAGCAAGAUAGCUUUCUUUCCUCCUCCUCCCUUCCCUCUCCUUCCCCUCCUCCCUCUCUUCCUCCCUCUGCCCUCCCAGUCCUUUUCUUUCUUCUCCUCCUCCUGCUCCUCCUCCUCCUCCUGCUCCUCCUGCUCCUCCUCCUUCUCUUCCUUCUCUUUUCCUCCUUCUCUACCUCCUCCUCUUUUGUACUGUGGUGUCAGUGGACACGUGGAACACUUCUGCCCCUGGCUAUUGAGAAUCAAGCUGCUAGGAAUAAUGCCACGGGAUGCCAGCAGCAGGCCCAGACGUCUCAGAUUUAUGGUGUCUCCUGAUUGUGUGUAGAGGCCAUGGCAGGUGACUGAUCUGUAUCAUACCAGAUUCCCCAUCCAACUGGUUGGGAAGCUCUUCAUGUGGCUUUUCAGAGUGGACAGUCCUGCUAGCUGUCCCUUUGCCCUCUGCCAGAUCCCCAGAGUUCUUUUCAUUCAUUGAUGGCUUAGGAAGAGAGAGUGUGUGCAAGACACACGUGUCUUCUACUCACUGGCCAAGAUAAGACAAGACUACAACAUCAUUUCCUGGUCCUGCCUACUUCCUGUGGGCGGCCCCUUCUCCACGAGAGCAGCACCUGACACAGGGGACUCAUUCUCCUUUGAUGCUUUUUAAAGGUGUACUUGUGACUCGAAUGACUGUGAUCCUGGGAAAACUCAACAUUUCAUCUCAUCAAAGUCACCUUUCCAACUUUAGCAGUGAAAACUACAAGAAAGGGGGUCAAAAUUCAGAUUAGGCAUCCUGGAGCAUCCUCUCUGGCUCCACAAGGUGAUCAGAGAGUGUGGACACAUAUCCAUCUAUUGACAAAUAAUUGUGAAAGGCAAAAUGUCUCCCUAAAUUAUAGUAAUGCACAUGUGAUGUGUAUAAUUCAACACCCUUUUGUGUAGGAAGUAGCCAUACUACUAAUACACUGCUGGUGGAAUUCUUA
rnacentral:lncRNA from 1 species